rnacentral:rRNA from 1 species
CCUACGGGAGGCUGCAGUGGGGAAUAUUGGACAAUGGGCGCAAGCCUGAUCCAGCCAUGCCGCGUGAGUGAUGAAGGCCCUAGGGUUGUAAAGCUCUUUCAGUGGGGACGAUAAUGACGGUACCCACAGAAGAAGCCCCGGCUAACUUCGUGCCAGCAGCCGCGGUAAUACGAAGGGGGCUAGCGUUGUUCGGAUUUACUGGGCGUAAAGCGCACGUAGGCGGAUCGUUAAGUCGGGGGUGAAAUCCUGGAGCUCAACUCCAGAACUGCCUUCGA